CCUACGGGUGGCAGCAGUGGGGAAUAUUGCACAAUGGGGGAAACCCUGAUGCAGCGACGCCGCGUGAGUGAAGAAGUAAUUCGUUUUGUAAAGCUCUUUCAGCAGGGAAGAAAAUGACGGUACCUGAAUAAGAAGCCCCGGCUAACUACGUGCCAGCAGCCGCGGUAAUACGUAGGGGGCAAGCGUUAUCCGGAUUUACUGGGGGUAAAGGGAGUUCAGACGGCAGUGCAAGUCAGGAGUGAAAGCCCGGGGCCCAACCCCGGAACUGCCCUGGAAACUGUGCGGCUAGAGUACUGGAGGGGCAGGCGGAAUUCCUAGUGUAGCGGUGAAAUGCGUAGAUAUUAGGAGGAACACCAGUGGCGAAGGCGGCCUGCUGGACAGUAACUGACGUUGAGGCUCGAAAGCGUGGGGAGCAAACAGGAUUAGAUACCCUGGUAGUC
rnacentral:rRNA from 1 species